rnacentral:rRNA from 1 species
UGCCAGCCGCCGCGGUAAUACAUAUGUGGCGAGCGUUGUUCGGAAUUACUGGGCUUAAAGAGUUCGUAGGCGGACCAACCAGUCGGGUGUGAAAUCCCUGAGCUUACCUCAGGAACUGCAUCCGAUACUUUUGGUCUGGAGUCCUUGAGGGGAGGGUGGAAUUCCAGGUGUAGCGGUGAAAUGCGUAGAUAUCUGGGAGAAGGCCAAAGGCGAAGGCAGCCCUCUGGCGGGAGACUGACGCUGAGGAACGAAAGCUAGGGUAUCGAACGGGAUUAGAUA